rnacentral:rRNA from 1 species
AUACGGAGGAUCCAAGCGUUAUCCGGAUUUAUUGGGUUUAAAGGGUGCGCAGGCGGAAGAUUAAGUCGGCGGUGAAAUUUUGCAGCUCAACUGUAAAAGUGCCAUCAAUACUGGUUUUCUUGAGUGUGGAUGAAGUAGGCGGAAUUUGUGGUGUAGCGGUGAAAUGCAUAGAUAUCACGAGGAACUCCGAUUGCGCAGGCAGCUUACUAAACUACUACUGACGCUCAGGCACGAAGGCGUGGGGAUCAAACAGGAUUAGAUACCCUGGUAGUCCACGCAGUAAACGAUGAUUACUAGCUGUUUGCGAUACAAUGUAAGCGGCUGAGCGAAAGCGUUAAGUAAUCCACCUGGGGAGUACGUUCGCAAGAAUGAAACUCAAAUGAAUUGACGGGG